GGUCGGAUAGCUUAAUUGAUAGAGCAAGCCGGAAUUAUAAGAUGUAUCUUGGGUGGUUUCGGGUUCGAAUCCCGAUCUGACCU
rnacentral:tRNA from 1 species